rnacentral:lncRNA from 1 species
CACUUUAUAGAAAAUGCUUGCAGAACCUUGAUCUUAAAACUAUUAUAGGGUUUUUAGAUGCUGUUUUAUCAUAUUUAUUAUUUAUGACUAUUAUUUUAAUAUAUAUCUAGUUGUUUCUUUUAAUUGAAAAUGCUCUAUUAAGCAUUGUUUCUUAAGAAAUAAAUUUAUUUAUCUAUUAAUUAUUAGGUAGAGUCAUAAUUUUUUUUUUUUUUUUUUAAGACAAAGUCUCCCUCUGUUGCCCAGGCUGAAAUGCAGUAGCAUGAUCUUGGUUCACUGCAACCUCCACCUUCUAGGUUCAGGUGAUUCUUCCAUCUGAACUCCCCAGUAGCUAAUUUGUGGUACUCCCUGUGGGUGGCAUGCGCCUCCCAUAGGUGCACGCCACCAUGCCCAGUUAUUUUUUUAUUUUUUAUUUUUUGGUAGAGCUGGGGUUUCACCAUGUUGCCCAGGCUGGUCUCAAACUCCUUGUCUCAAGUGAUCUGCCCACGUCAGUCUCCAAAAGUGCUAGGAUUAUAGGCGUGGGGCAUGAGCCACUGUACCCGGCCUUAGUCAUAAGUCUUUUUUACUUAUUUAUUUACUUUUUGAGACGGCGUUUCAUUCUUGUCGCCCAGGCUGGAGUGCAAUGGUGUGAUCUUAGCUCACUGCAACCUCCGCCUCCUGGGUUCAAGCAAUUCUCCUGCCUCAGCCUCCUAAGUAGCUGGGAUUACAGGCAUGUGCCACCAUGACGAGCUAAUUUUGUAUCUUUAGUAGAGACGGGGUUUCUCCAUGUUGGUCAGGCUGGUCUUGAACUCCCAACCUCAGGUGAUCCGCCUGCCUCGGCCUUCCAAAGUGCUAGGAUUACAGGCGUGAGCCACCAUGCCCGGCCUAGUCAUAAACCUUUUAAACCGAAAGGGAUGUUAAUAGGGUGCUCAUUUCACAC